AAGAGAAAAUUGAAUCCUACAGAAGGAAAUCAUCUUGUCAACGAAUUAGCCUCAAAGAUAUGGAAGGAACCUUCUAGAUGAUUUUUAUUGACGACACUUAAUACUUGAGAGGUUUAUAUCUCUUACCUUGAUUGUUCAAGAGCAAAGAAGGCAGGUGUGUUUCUCUGGACUCACUUUUCAUGUUUUCCAUAGCUGCUACUGGUCUUUUUGCAAAGAAACUGGCCCAGAGGAGACAUAUAAGAAGAGCCCUUCUUUCCAUGUUGGCGGUGUUGGUUCUUUGCCCUCUUUGUCUUUAAAAGAUAUGAUUUUUUGAACUGCGUAACCUCCCUGCCUCUGCACUGAAGAUGAUAUUGUCAAACGGACAGCGGGCACAUCUCUUAAGUAAGUUUAAUUUCAUUCUUUUACCAUGGUAAGCAUUCGGCAGGAGAAUUAUCAAGCUGACUAAAUGGGAAUUCUAGGCUGACCGGACAUUCAGCGAAUUAGAAGCGAGUGCGGAGAGU